rnacentral:lncRNA from 1 species
AUACACCUCAUACUUUGUUAACCGUUCACUACAUGAUUUUAGUUCUUCCAAGACUGCCAAUAAAAAUAAAAAAUAUUUACGGCGCACGUUUAAUGGUUAUAAAUGAACAUAGAAGACGCCUUAAAAAGAACAAAGAAAAUAUUUCAAAGUUUGUCAAAGGAGAAUCUGUAACUGCCUUUGUUAAUGGUGAAUGGGAAAAGGGUGAAAUCGGAGGUAUCGUCAAUUACGGAAAAGAAAAAUUUUUUGUUAGAAUAAGACAAAUUGAUGGAAACGAAAAAAUAGUUAAUAUAGGCUAUGUUAAACUUGGUGCAAAAAAAGAUGAUUCAGAAAAAAAUGAAGACAGAUAUUUAAGCAGUGAUAGACAUCAUAGAAAAUGUAGCAGCAGUGAACGAAAAAGAAAACGAAGAAGGAGGAGUAGAAGCAGAAGUAGGAGCAGGAGCAAACACAGAGAAGGGAAUAGAGACCGAAAAAAACAUAGAACAAGACACAGAAGCAGGGACAAAGAUAGGGAUAGGGAAAGGUAUAGAGAAAGGGAUAGAGAAAGGGAUAGAGAAAGGGAUAGGGGUAGGGAUAGGAGUAGAGACAGGAGUAGGGAUAGAGGUAGGGAUAGAAGUAGGGAUAGGAGUAGAGAUAGGAGUAGGGACAAGAGUAGGGACAAGAGUAGAGAAAGUAGUAUGGACAGGCGCAAUAAAAGACAACUAAGUACAACACACAAAUCACAUAGAAAUAAUGAUGAAAAAUCAAAUAAUAAAGAGCAUAAUCUAAAAUCAUAUGAAAGACAUCAUAAAAAAAGAAAUAAAUCAGAUUCUACAAAUUAUUCAGAAAAAGGAAGACAAAAAAGAGAGAAAGCAGAAAAUACAGAAGAUGAAUUAAUUAAUAGAUUUAGAAAACUGGAAAGUCAAAAAGCAUUAGCAACUGGAAGAGACUAUGUAAGAAGGCCUACAUCAUAUAAAUCAUCAUUAACCCUAAAAGUAGAUAAUAUACCAACAAGAAGAAGAUCAAUAUCGAGGUCCCCAAAACGAAUAGAACAAAAAGUAGAAAUAAUGCAAAAUUAUAAUAAAACAAAUAAUGAAAAGAAUUAUAUAGUAGAAGAGAACUCAACAUUUAAAGAGUUAAUGCAAAAAUAUAAUAAAGAUGAUAAUGUUAAUAAAGAAAAAAAUAAUAAUUAUGAAAAUUUAGAAGAAAUGGAAGUUAUGAAACUUGGAUA